rnacentral:tRNA from 1 species
GGGGCUGGGGCUCAGUGGUAGAGCUCUCGCCUGGCACGCAUGAAGCACUGGGUUCGAUCCUCAGCACCA